AUUUAAUAGCUUUUUAUUUACAUUUCAGACAAUGACGUAGAUGGCAAGAGAGUGGAUUGCAUACCCACAAAGAGUAUGAUAGGGUAUCUCUGACAAGUCUGACCAAAAGCUGUUAAAGUUCAGACUUCACACUCCGCUACAAGGAGGUCACCCUUAAUUUGGAAGCAGUCAAGCCAGAACAACAAACAUGUGUCCCAUACAGAGAUAAGAAUGUGGGAACCUACUUGCCACAGACUGCCUUGCAGAACCGGUCCAAAAGGAACAACAGUACCGCAACAACAUAAUGAGGAGUCUAUAUGAAAUGCAGUGUUCAAUGUAAGUGUUACUGUUCAAAUAUAACAAAUAUGUACAGGCUUUGAGAAAAUAAUUUUUUUAUUCUUGUUGGUAACAACCAGUAAAGAAUGGAUAACUGAAAGCAUGUCAAAAGCAAUAUUAACUUCUGACCUGCAAUCCUGAAGUAGUCACUGGUCUUAACUUGUAUUAUAGGUUGUUUAAUACUGCAAAUAAAAUUUAUUUAUUUCCCAUC